UGAAGAGUUUGAUCAUGGCUCAGAUUGAACGCUGGCGGCAGGCCUAACACAUGCAAGUCGAACGGUAACAGGAAGCAGCUUGCUGCUUCGCUGACGAGUGGCGGACGGGUGAGUAAUGUCUGGGAAACUGCCUGAUGGAGGGGGAUAACUACUGGAAACGGUGGCUAAUACCGCAUAACGUCGCAAGACCAAAGAGGGGGACCUUCGGGCCUCUUGCCAUCAGAUGUGCCCAGAUGGGAUUAGCUAGUUGGUGAGGUAACGGCUCACCAAGGCGACGAUCCCUAGC
rnacentral:rRNA from 1 species